UACGGGGGGGGGCAAGCGUUGUUCGGAAUUACUGGGCGUAAAGGGCUCGUAGGUGGCCAACUAAGUCAGACGUGAAAUCCCCAGGCUCAACUUGGGAACUGCGUCUGAUACUGGAUGGCUUGAAUUCGGGAGAGGGAUGCAGAAUUCCAGGUGUAGCGGUGAAAUGCGUAGAUAUCUGGAGGAACACCGGUGGCGAAGGCGGCAUCCUGGACCGGCAUUGACGCUGAGGCGCGAAAGCCAGGGGAGCAAAGCGGG
rnacentral:rRNA from 1 species